rnacentral:rRNA from 1 species
AUGGAUAACACAAGCAUGGGCAUGGGCAUGGAGAACAAGAGCGUGGCCAUCAUCGGCGCUGGCGUGAGUGGGCUGGCGGCGUGCAAGCACCUGCUGGAGCGCGGGUGCCGGCCGGUGGUAUUCGAGGCGGACACCGUCGUUGGCGGCGUGUGGGCGCACACCCCGGACUGCACCAGGCUCCAGACCGAGCGGACCAUGUACCAGUACACGGACUUCCCGUGGCCGGAUUCCGUCACGGAGGAGUUCCCGAACAACCGCCAGGUCGCCGCCUACCUCAAUGCCUACGCGCGCCGCUUCGGGGUGCUCGAAUGCAUCCGAUUCGAGCACCGCGUUGCCGGGAUGGAGUACGUCGGUGUCGCCGAGGAGGAGGUGGCGGCGUGGGACGAGUGGGCUGGCUGCGCUGACGCAUUUGGCUCUGGCAACGGCAAGUGGCGCCUCACGGUGGCCGACGCCCAGGGUCAGGUGCAGGUACACAAGGCAGACUUUGUGAUUCUUUGUAUUGGAAGGUUCAGCAAUGUUCCCAACAUACCUAAAUUGCCUCCUGGAAAAGGCCCGGAAUCAUUUGAUGGAAAAGUGAUCCACUCCAUGGACUAUUCCAAAAUGGGUAGUCAGAAAGCUAAGGAGAUGGUCAAGGGCAAGCAUGUGACUGUUAUUGGCUAUGGACAUUCGGCCCUUGACAUCGCUAAUGAAUGUGCAAGCUUGAACGUUUGCGGCAUAAAAAAUGAAACCUCACUAAUAUAA